UCGACUCACUUACACCCCUAAUCUAAGUUCAGUAAAUGUACAAAGUGAUAGGAUUUUCACCAUUCACACAGUUGUUAAUUGUUUAAUAAGUUCUCAACCACAUAUUCAAACUCUAUGGGCCUGCUAUCAUUUAGCAACAGUGGCAUGCAUGAUAUAUGAGAAAUACUAUAUGUUUACUAUACCAAACAUUAAAAAAGUUUCUAUGAUAGUGUUCUUGUGGAUAGAUUACUUGGCAAAUAGGAUUAUAAAAUAGUUGUCUUAAAAUGUGAUAAGGAAACUUAAAUAGUCCAUCUUGUUUUUGUAGAAUGCUCAAUCAGUUUGUAGACUCCAUCUAAAAUAGAAUAAGAUCUUCAUUUGUUUGGAUCCAAAAUACUGCAAUUCUAACUUGGCGACCGAAUAGGCUUGAAAUGUUGAAGCGUCGCCUAAAGGGGCCACCAAGAAAGGGCAAGGAAAGCGCGCUAAAAAGAGUGGCCGAUGAGGAUCAUCUCCAAAAACCAAUUUAUAUGAAACUAGUUUAUAACCCGUCGAAAUUCGACGGGAAAUCACUUUAC
rnacentral:lncRNA from 1 species